rnacentral:tRNA from 1 species
GCUGCGUUAGCUCAAUUGGUAGAGCAGUUGAUUUGUAAUCAACCGGUUGGGGGUUCAAUUCCCUUACGCAGCUCCA